CUCAAGUGAUCUGCCCGUCUCGGCCUCCCAAAAUGCUGGAUUACAGGCAUGACCCACCCCGCCCGGCCCAUCUUCUGGUGUUUCAACUUCCCACUCUGGAACUAUCUGCACCAACCAGUGUCAUAGUUUGCUACCAGAAGUAUGGAUAAUUGAGACCACAGAGAACCCUCCCUAAAACAGUGAAAAGCGUCAGAAGUCUUUGGUUUAUAAAGGACUGAGGGCUCCGCUGUCUAUGGCCCCGGCCCUGGGCUCAGCACUUACAAACUUUCCUGACACCUGGAACUGUGAACCUGGCACCAAGCAGAAAAUAAACUCCAAGCAGCCAGUAAAAAAAGAAAAGAAAAGAAAAGAAAGCCUUUAGUUUAAAAGAUGUGGAGAUGAAUUCUUGAGAGUUUAGAUGCUUCUCCCACCCCUCCCCCUUCUGGCUUCACGAUGUCCUGCCAUUUGUACAUUUGAGACAUGUGCUAAAGUGUAUCUACCCAUCCUGCUCAUCUUCACCUGCAAGAAUGCUGGCUGAUUCCAUGUGUCCCACAGGGUGAUGUGUUGAUUCGGAUAGUGGGCAGCAGAAAGCCUUUGCCAUUCAGAAUAUGGAAAUGGGAGAAAUGGAGCCAGAAAAUGUUUACAGAACGGUGAGAGAAGAAAAGGAAAAAUACCCAAGGUACAGCUGACCUGUUUAAAUGCAGAAUAUACUUAAAAGACUCCAAAGACUGAGGCUUUUGUAACAUGAAUGAGGAAUAUUAAAGGUAAACUCCUCCUGGGCAGGACCUGACUCUUCAGAGGAAGUUUUUAAUCCCCCUCCCCAGAAGUGCCCACAUCAAGGCCAUGGUAGAGAAGAAGCUCAAGAGCAAUCCCUAAGCAACCACACUUGGAAGCAUCCUGCAUCAGAGGGGUUUGUUCCAGGCUCAGAUUUAAUUCCACUAUUUCCUUUUCCUAAGACAAGUAUUGUCUGAAGCAGUCUGUGUGAUUUUGAGAUGAAAAGAUUGCAGAACUCAGCUCCCAGGUUGUCUCGUAUCUGAUUCUUUGACAGGGGAAAAGAAGGGGACUCUUCUGCACAAUAGCUGAGCAGACAGGAGAGAAAAAACUUGAAGAUUCACAGUGGAGUGAGGCUAAUUGGAGCCUUCCUCAGAGAAGCUCAACUUUCCCAGUUUUACCUAUCCCAUUCCUUGCCAUUCCCACCUGUAAUUCUGUCUUGGCAAGAACCCCACACUGAAUGUUCUCAAAGUACUUUGUAGACUUUAAUUAGUUCUGUGGGAAGUCAGGCAAAGCUCAGCCUUCAUUCUGCCAACAGAGAUGACAGUGGUGGGUGUGGAAGGAAGGCAAGAAGAAGAUAGACACCCAGAACAGUUGUGCAACUUACUGAAGGCCAUGUGGAUAGAAGGAACUGGGUUUAAAACCCCUGAGUCUUGAUAAAAGUGUCUUAGCCUUCCAGAUUCCUAAACAGGUAGUGGGCUCAUCCUACUAACCUACUUUGCUAGGGUGUUGUUGAUGAAUGCUUAUAAACCCUGUCCCAGAUGAUAGGUUUGGAAGAUUGUUAAGGAAAGCAUGCCAUUAAGUCCCUACUCACCCCCUCCUUGACAAAUAGCCCUAGAGGGAAAUGAAUGUCAGCCAGAAUCGGAGGGCCUCCACUUCAAUGGGAUGGACUGAGAUUCAGCAACAGGAGAAAUUUUCUAGCAGUGAGGGAAAUCAAGGAUGUGCUGGGGCUGGAGGGUAGGGUUUGGGAAGGCCUAAAACAGGUGACCCAUGGCCAGACAGCCUGGAAAAGAUCAUCAAGGAAUAACUGAUUCCCAUUGGUCGCUGUGGAUGGUCAUUUUCUUAAAAUUCAGGACACUAUUUUUGCAGUAGUUUCCCUUCCUCU